UCAGCCCGUAGCAACUGACCUCUGCUCCCACCAAACUCCUUGAACUGAGGUUACUACCAGCACCUGGCUUCCCGGGCUUCAUCAUCUACAGUUGUGAAAUCAGGGCUGAAUUUAUGCUUUUAGGCCUCAAAAUAAGACAUUUCUGAGAAAAGUGAAUCCCGUGACUUGGCCUCAGAGGAACAUUAAGAGACCUUCCCCAGGGACCUGGUUUUCAAGUUACCUGUGAAUCAGAGAGUAAGAUAGAGAGGCCUUCAGGAAGUCUCAUAAGGGAUGGAAUGAAGAAAAAUAAGAGAGAUUCAGCAAAGGAGGGAGUAAAUAAUGAGAAAAUUCCUAUAAAAAAUAGAUGUCAUGCACAUAAGAAAUCAGAAAAAAAUGUUGGGGUCAGUUCACACAUCUGCAGUUUCCAGGUGUGUAAAGAGUGUGGCAAAGCCUUUAACUUCAACUCAGCACUAGCAAGUCAGCAUUGGAGAGAAACCUUUUAGAUGCAAGGACUACAGCAAGGCCUUCAAGCAAAAAGUCAGCUUAAAUCAAUAUCAAUGGAUCCAAAAGAAAAAAAGAAAAGGGAAGAAAAAAGAAAAAACCCCAAGAUCAAUGGAUCCACACUUGGGUGAAGCCCUACAAAUGCAGAGUGUGGGAAAGGCUUCAACAAGACUACCAAACGUAAGUGGUGAGCUUCUCCAUAGGAGGAUUGGUCAGGAAGGUGGACUGUCCCCAAAGGAGAUGAAUACAAGGAAUGACCUUGAGAGUGUCUGUCUUUCCUUAGAUUUUAGUUCCUGAGAGUGUUACCUUUCCCUGAGACAGGAAUAACAGAGGUCAGAUGACGACAACAGUGUCCUUAACAACCAGGCCCCAGCAUCGUCCACUUCCGAACUAGCUCUGAUCUCUCAUCUUGAGCAAAGGGAAAGAGUCACGUUUCACCCAGCCCCAGGGACCCCUAAGCAGGAGGAACAGGAGAGCAGGUU